rnacentral:rRNA from 1 species
UACGAAGGGGGCGAGCGUUGUUCGGAAUUACUGGGCGUAAAGGGCGCGUAGGCGGCCGCUCAAGUCAGAUGUGAAAGUCCUGGGCUUAACCUGGGGACUGCAUUUGAUACUGUGUGGCUUGAAUUCGGGAGAGGAUAGCGGAAUUCCCAGUGUAGAGGUGAAAUUCGUAGAUAUUGGGAAGAACACCGGUGGCGAAGGCGGCUAUCUGGACCGACAUUGACGCUGAUGCGCGAAAGCGUGGGGAG